rnacentral:tRNA from 1 species
AUUUACAUAGUAUAACUCUAAUUAUAUUUAAUUUCCAAUUAAAAGAUCUGAUAAAAUUUAGUGUAAAUA